rnacentral:rRNA from 1 species
UAGGGAAUCUUCGGCAAUGGGGGGAACCCUGACCGAGCAACGCCGCGUGAGUGAAGAAGGUUUUCGGAUCGUAAAGCUCUGUUGUUAAGGAAGAACGAGUGUGAGAAUGGAAAGUUCAUACUGUGACGGUACUUAACCAGAAAGGGACGGCUAACUACGUGCCAGCAGCCGCGGUAAUACGUAGGUCCCGAGCGUUGUCCGGAUUUACUGGGCGUAAAGCGAGCGCAGGCGGUUAGAUAAGUCUGAAGUUAAAGGCAGUGGCUCAACCAUUGUAGGCUUUGGAAACUGUUUAACUUGAGUGCAGAAGGGGAGAGUGGAAUUCCAUGUGUAGCGGUGAAAUGCGUAGAUAUAUGGAGGAACACCGGUGGCGAAAGCGGCUCUCUGGUCUGUAACUGACGCGGAGGCUCGAAAGCGUGGGGAGCAAACAGG